GAUGAACGCUAGCUACAGGCUUAACACAUGCAAGUCGAGGGGAAACGAUAUUGGAAGCUUGCUUCCGAUAGGCGUCGACCGGCGCACGGGUGAGUAACGCGUAUCCAACCUGCCCAUCACUUGGGGAUAACCUUGCGAAAGUAAGACUAAUACCCAAUGACGUCUCUAGAAGACAUCUGAAGGAGAUUAAAGAUUUAUCGGUGAUGGAUGGGGAUGCGUCUGAUUAGCUUGUUGGCGGGGUAACGGCCCACCAAGGCGACGAUCAGUAGGGGUUCUGAGAGGAAGGUCCCCCACAUUGGAACUGAGACACGGUCCAAACGCCUACGGGAGGCAGCAGUGAGGAAUAUUGGUCAAUGGACGAGAGUCUGCACCAGCCAAGUAGCGUGCAGGAUGACGGCCCUAUGGGUUGUAAACUGCUUUUAUAAGGGAAUAAAGUGAGUCUCGUGAGACUUUUUGCAUGUACCUUAUGAAUAAGGACCGGCUAAUUCCGUGCCAGCCGCCGCCGUAA
rnacentral:rRNA from 1 species